UACGGAGGGAGCUAGCGUUGUUCGGAAUCACUGGGCGUAAAGCGCACGUAGGCGGAUUUGUAAGUCAGGGGUGAAAUCCCGGGGCUCAACCUCGGAACUGCCUUUGAUACUGCGAGUCUUGAGUCCGAUAGAGGUGGGUGGAAUUCCUAGUGUAGAGGUGAAAUUCGUAGAUAUUAGGAAGAACACCAGUGGCGAAGGCGGCCCACUGGAUCGGUACUGACGCUGAGGUGCGAAAGCGUGGGGAGCAAACAGG
rnacentral:rRNA from 1 species